rnacentral:rRNA from 1 species
CAAUAGCGUAUAUUAAAGUUGUUGCAGUUAAAAAGCUCGUAGUUGGAUUUCUGGUAGGAGUGACCGUUCCGAACUUGAUUGUUAGUGUAUUGUGUUUUCUCCAGCCAUCCUUGUGGAGAACUUUUCUUGCAUUAAUUUGUAGGGAUUGGGACCCGCAUCGUUUACUGUGAAAAAAUUAGAGUGUUUAAAGCAGGCAAUCGCUUGAAUACAUUAGCAUGGAAUAAUAAGAUAGGACUUUGGUACUAUUUUGUUGGUUUGCAUACCAAAUUAAUGAUCAACAGGAACAGUUUGAGGAUAUUCGUAUGAACAUGUCAGAGGUGAAAUUCUUGGAUUUUGAUCAGACGAACUACUGCGAAAGCAUUUAUCAAGGAUGUUUUCAUUAA